GUCCUUUUGUUAUUUAAUAUAAGGUCUAACCUGCCCAAUGAUUAUAAUUGAAUGGCCGCGGUAUUUUAACCGUGCAAAGGUAGCAUAAUCAUUUGUCUUUUAAUUAAAGGCUAGAAUGAAUGGUUGGAUAAAGGAUUUUCUUUCUUUUUUGUAAAAAUUGAAUUUAAUUUCUUAGUUAAAAAGCUAAGAUUUUUUUAUAGGACGAGAAGACCCUAUAGAACUUUACUUUUUUAUUUCUUUUUAUGAUGUUUAAAAUUAAUAAAGAAAGGGGUAAAUUAGUUUCGUUGGGGUGAUGUAGGAAUUUAAAUAACUUCCUAUUUUUUAUUUUCAUUUAUUUGUGUUUAUAAUGAUCCAAAAAUUUUGAUUAAAAGUUUAAGUUACCUUAGGGAUAACAGCGUAAUUUCUUCGGAGAGUUCAUAUCGAUGGGGAAGUUUGCGACCUCGAUGUUGGAUUAAAAUAAGUAGUAGAAGCAGUAUUUUAUUUACUAGGUCUGUUCGACCUUUAAUUUUUUACA
rnacentral:rRNA from 1 species